rnacentral:rRNA from 1 species
UACGUAGGUGGCAAGCGUUGUCCGGAUUUAUUGGGUUUAAAGGGUGCGUAGGCGGCUUAUUAAGUCAGUGCUGAAAUAUCCCGGCUUAACCGGGAGGGUGGCAUUGAUACUGAUGAGCUUGAGUGAAGUCGAGGUAGGCGGAAUUGACGGUGUAGCGGUGAAAUGCUUAGAUAUCGUCAAGAACACCGAUAGUGUAGACAGUUUACUAGGCUUAAACUGACGCUGAGGCACGAAAGCGUGGGGAUCAAACAGG